CAGCAGCCACGGUAAUACGUAGGGUGCAAGCGUUAAUCGGAAUUACUGGGCGUAAAGCGUGCGCAGGCGGUGAGUUAAGUCUGCUGUGAAAUCCCCGGGCUCAACCUGGGAAUGGCAGUGGAUACUGGCUCGCUAGAGUGUGUCAGAGGAUGGUGGAAUUCCCGGUGUAGCGGUGAAAUGCGUAGAGAUCGGAAGGAACAUCUGUGGCGAAGGCGGCCAUCUGGGACAACACUGACGCUGAGGCACGAAAGCGUGGGGAGCAAACAGGAUUAGAUACCCCCGUAGUCCCUGUCUCUUAUAC
rnacentral:rRNA from 1 species